AACCUAGAAUUUUAUAAGGUGAUCCCUGUCUCCCCAUGACUGACAUUCUUCAUGGGGAAGGCAAAAGUUUUAGGCCUGAAGAGUAUUUAGUUAAUUCAAGGAUUUAUCUACAUGUUUAUUUGAGACCGAGCAUGUAUAAAUUUGGAUUUCCUAAAGAUAAGAUUAUGACGGUUUUAACUACGAAAACAUUGAAAUUUUAUGAAGAUUUUGAAAUUGGAUCAUGAUGAAGGUAAGAGUGAAGAAGAAGGCGCCAAUAUUGGGUUGCAAGAUGGGAGGAGGACCUCUAUUGGUUGAAAAACAUCCAUAGCUAUCAUACCUGAAUGAUCACAUUUGCAGCUUUAAAAUACUUUUUUUCGCAGUUUCGUUUUCACCUGCCUUCGUUCAUUUUUGCAGAUUUGGUAAAUUUUGACGGAUUAGAGAGACAUAAGAAGAAUACAGGUGUGAGCCGUGAAGCAAAGAUUGAUUCAAUGUUAUGGAUUUCUGAAUGUUUGCAAGCCAACCUGUUCACCGUUGAUGUAUAAAUAUGUGGAACUUCGUAUCUGUAAGUUAGUCUUUUUUUUUUGUCAUUGGGUGUGCACACAGUUAGAACACGUUUCAGGUUUCAGAAAUGGUUUUAAUGGCAUCAAUUUCUAAGGAGUCACUACUAUUAGCUUGGUUUUAAUGGCUACACUAGAUUGUGGGAGUCUUUGUUUGUAGUCGUUCUCCAAAUAAAGGUGCAAGAAGUUUGAUGUGUAUAUUGAAUAGGCUAACAACUCAUAGCAAGUAAAUUUUGUGGAAAUCAUCUCUUUCCGUUUCA